rnacentral:rRNA from 1 species
UGCCAGCAGCCGCGGUAAUACAGAGGGUGCAAGCGUUAAUCGGAAUUACUGGGCGUAAAGGGCGUGUAGGUGGUUACUUAAGUUGGAUGUGAAAGCCCCGGGCUUAACCUGGGACCUGCAUCCAAAACUGGGUGGCUAGAGUACAGUAGAGGGAAGUGGAAUUUCUAGUGUAGCGGUGAAAUGCGUAGAUAUUAGAAAGAACACCAGUGGCGAAGGCGGCUUCCUGGACUGAUACUGACACUGAGGCGCGAAAGCGUGGGUAGCGAACAGGAUUAGAUA